rnacentral:rRNA from 1 species
GAUGAACGCUAGCGGCAGGCCUAAUACGUGCAAGUCGAACGGUGUCUUCGGACAUAGUGGCGCACGGGUGCGUAACACGUAUGCAACCUACCUUACAUUGGGGGAUAGCCUUUCGAAAGGGAGAUUAAUACCGCAUAAGACAGUAGCUGGGCAUCCAGCAGCUGUUAAAGAUUUAUCGAUGUAAGCUGGGCAUGCGUCCAAUUAGCUAGUUGGUGAGGUAACGGCUCACCAAGGCUAUGAUUGGUAGGGGAACUGAGAGGUCAAUCCCCCACACUGGCACUGAGAUACGGGCCGGACUCCUACGGGAGGCAGCAGUAGGGAAUAUUGGGCAAUGGACGCAAGUCUGACCCAGCCAUGCCGCGUGCAGGAUGAAGGCGUUAUGCGUUGUAAACUGCUUUUAUACAGGAAGAAACGACUCUUGCGAGAGGCAUUGACGGUACUGUAUGAAUAAGCACCGGCUAACUCCGUGCCAGCCGCCGCGGUAAGAC